UGUGUGCUUUGUCAGGGCAGCUGAGCAGGGAUGGGGCUGCCACCCACCAGAGAUGCUGUAGUUCUGGGAAUGGCCUACAAACAUGUUGGGUGGCCUGGUCCUCAGGACAGAGUGACAGCUCCAGGAGGGACAUGCUACCCAGAGAGCCUCAGUCCUGUCCAGGAGUUCAGCUUCUACCUUUUGCGCAGUAAGGGGGUGUCCUGAGUGACUGCCCUCUGAGCCAAGCAAUGGCCAUUUUUAGGGAGUUCAGCUGCACCUACCACACCACCAAAGAUCAUCUCAGCUUUUUGACACGUCCACCCCAACAUGGAGGGGCAGAGCAAGGCUGAAGUUCUCACCUGAGUAUCCAGCUGCUUGCUUCCUCUCACUGGGCAUUGUGGCCUUGGGGCAGGGGGGAGUACAUAAAGGCCAGGGUGACUAGA